GAUGAACGCUGGCGGCGUGCCUAAUACAUGCCAGUCGAGCGAACGGACGAGGAGCUUGCUUUUCUGACGUUAGCGGCGGACGGGUGAGUAACACGUGGAUAACCUACCUAUAAGACUGGGAUAACUUCGGGAAACCGGAGCUAAUACCGGAUAAUAUUUUGAACCGCAUGGUUCAAUAGUGAAAGACGGUCUUGCUGUCACUUAUAGAUGGAUCCGCGCUGCAUUAGCUAGUUGGUAAGGUAACGGCUUACCAAGGCAACGAUGCAUAGCCGACCUGAGAGGGUGAUCGGCCACACUGGAACUGAGACACGGUCCAGACUCCUACGGGAGGCAGCAGUAGGGAAUCUUCCGCAAUGGGCGAAAGCCUGACGGAGCAACGCCGCGUGAGUGAUGAAGGUCUUCGGAUCGUAAAACUCUGUUAUUAGGGAAGAACAUAUGUGUAAGUAACUGUGCACAUCUUGACGGUACCUAAUCAGAAAGCCACGGCUAACUACGUG
rnacentral:rRNA from 1 species